CUAGGACGUUCAUGUGCAAACAGCUCAAAGUGACGAGGGCGCAUCAUUCGCAAAUGCAAAUAUUGCAGAGAAAACACUCGAAGAAAUUUUAAGGGGAUCGGUUAGUGGAAGUAAAGUUUUGAAGUACUACAGUAAGACAAAAGUUCUUACGCCAAAAUACAGAAAAUUGCUUGCAGCAACAAUCGCAAACUAUUUGAUUUCGUCCGGAGUAAACUCGAGCCCAAAAACAUUUGAAUCGUUCGCCAGCCAGAUAUCGAAUUUCUUUUUAAGUGAGUCGAAGGACAUACAUUACAUACAUAAAAAGGGGAAAAACCAGGCGGAUGUUUAUACACUAAAUACCACAGCACUUUAUUCAAAUGUAGGCAUUAUAAAUAAAAAGCCCGCCGAAGAGAAGCCGCAAAAAGCAGCACAUAGCAAUUUAUGUACGACAGGUAAAGAUCUACUUUACAAACAGUGAGCGUCAAAAAUAAGUAAAAAUUUUCCUUAUUUUUUUAUAAAAGUAUAGUUUAUUCACAGCAAAAACCACAUGAAUAAAUUUAUUAAUUUCAUACAGAACUCGGGGAAAAUGAAGGAAAUUUUGAUUAAAAUUUUAAACUUUCCGCAGAAAAAUUGUUCUAAGAAAUCAAUUUGAAAAGUUGGUGCGUUUAUAAAUUAUUUUUAUAGACUACUCUCAAGAAAAAUCGUGCCUUAAGUAUAACGUCGAGCCUUUUGAUGAAGUGCAAAUCAAAUGGGAAUUGACUUUUGAAGUCAGGUGCCAAAUGCUGCAAGAUCAUUCAAAUCUAAAUAAAAUUUUAGAAGAAUGGCCACUAUAUAAGCAGAUUUUUGGACAUUUAUUGGUAUAACUCGUAAUAUAUUGCGUGCUUAUUUUGAAAUUAAUUUAUAAUUGAGUAAGGCCAAGUUCAAGUUAUCCUGUAAAUGUCAUUAACAUAAAAAAUAUACGAAUUUCUCCAAGUGAAAUAUUCCAGGAUUACUUCUCUGGGCUUUACUCAACUAAAUGAAUAUUUUAAAUGAUAUAAUGGGUAAUUAACUAAUGUUUGAUUGAUAGAUUGAGACGGACUUUAACAAAUUGUACCCAGAGAAGAAAAAUUUAUUAUUCGAAAAUUGGGAAAAUUUCAGCCAAGCAGUACGCCAUAUUUUUGAGAUUUAUAUUAAAUUAUUAUUAUUCACACAGUUUGACAACCUGGAAGCAAUUUAAGGAAGGAACGAUUAAAGCUGGUACGGAUGCGGUCACAUGCUAUCUUCUACAUUCUGGUUUAGUUCCAACCAGCCGAGAAUACAAAACGUGCAAGCAAACAAAAAAGAAACAUUUGGUCAAAGCCACUAUUGAAGAUUCCAGAAACAGUUUUUUAAUAUGGGCAACAACUAAUUGUGAACUUCAAUCAAAACUGAAAUUAAUGGUUGAUGAGAAUUAUAAGGGCAAAAGCACCAUUCAGCCCAUCAUAUGUGCUAUUGGAAUGAGCUUGCUUGAGAGCAACGAAUAUUUCGUGUACUUCGCCAACAUAUUUUAUAAGUUCGAUAAUGUUAUCAAAUGUAUUGAUGUGUGUUUUAAGAUAUUCCACGUACUUAAUCUUAAAUAUCCUUCCGAAUGCAAAUCUAUUUGGUUUUUUGUCCAGCAAUACUUUUAUGACAUUGCUUUGAAAUCACACGAGAAAAGUACCUCAUUGUGUGCAAUAUUAAGUGAUUUAAGACAAUUUAAAUGUUUUAAUAAUAACUAGAAAUGGAAGGAAAAAUUAAAUGUUUUGUGUGCACACAAUCUUUUGAACAAUGCGAUCGUUUAUUUAAACAUUUCAAAAUUAUUCACUGUUUAUCACAAUACGAUAUGUACAAAUGUGGAUUUACAGCUUGUAACCAAUCAUUUACGAAUUUUAAAUCACUUUGUAGGCACAUGCGAAUUGAACGCAAAAGAUAUGAAAUUACUUUAUUAAGCAAUCAGAAUGUAAAAGACGAAUGUUUAUCUAAUACUACUUCAAUGGUACCUAAUACUAUAAUAACAGAUACUGGUAAUCAAAGUACAAAUACUUUAAGUAACAUAACAAGUUUAAAUGUAAAUGAAGAAACUUUAAAAGAAGGUUGCAUUAAAUUGUCCUAGAAAAGAAACCGUUGAGUUGCAAAGAGAUGUUACAAACAUGAUUUUGUGUCCAUUAAAAAACCAUUUAAAACAAAUAUUGCAAAAUUUCGAUUCGCUAGGAAAAAACGAUAUUAAAGCUGAUAUUGAAAAUUUAGUAAAUAUUUGUAGCGAUCCAUUUAAAGACUUUAACUCAGAGUAUAAGUUUAUUAAAACUCUUAAAGAACUAAGUUUAUACGAAAAUCCACAAGUCAUCACCAUAAAUAAUUCAAUAAGUAACUUGCAAACUAGACAUGUAAACAAAUUAAAUUCAGCAUUAGUAAGGGGUGUGUUAUUUCCAAUUAAAUUUCAAAUAAAAAAAUUUUUUGAAUUGCCAGGCAUGUACGAAAAUUUUUCUAAAAGUCUUGAAUACUUAACCACCAAUAACGAAGUUUUAAAAAAUUUUGUAAAUGGCGAUAUUUGGCAAAAAAAAUUCAAAAUUAUAAAAACAAGUUAGUUAUUCCAUAUUUUCUAUACUUCGAUGACUUCGAAGUUAACAAUCCCUUAGGUUCACAUAGUUCAUCAGUUUUAGCAGUAUAUUAUUCCUUCCCCACCGCGCCAAUUUCUGUUAAACAUGAACUUCAAAGUAUUUUGAUAGCCGCUCUUUUUAAAUCACAAGAUGUUAAAUAAUUCGGUAAUGAUAAAUCAUUUUAUAAGUUAGUAGAAAUACUAAAUGAUUUAGAAAAUAAUGGUAUUGAAAUUAAAACACCAAACGGCAAUAAAAUAAUUUAUUUAUGUUUAGGUUUGAUAAUUGGAGAUAAUUUAACGCUUAACAAUAUUCUUGGAUUUUCUCGUUCAUUUUCUUCUAACCAUUAUUGUCGAUUUUGUAAAAUAAAUAAAACCGAUGCCAAAUUCGCUUUUAUUGAAGAUAAUAGCCAAUUAAGAGAUCAACAAAACUACGCUUACGAUAUUUCUUUGAACGAUUUCGAAAAUACUGGCAUAAGAGAGUUUUCCAUUUUUAUUAAUAGCCGUCAUCGAUUCGCCAUCAGUUAGCGAGUGGCGAAACGAACGAACUUAAUGAGGU